AUUGCUGUGUGCUUCUUAGGAUUUUGUAUCAAUGCGGAGAGGGCAUUGUAUGUAUAGCUCUGCAUUGACAUGAUUGGUUUAAGGCAGGCGAGGGCGGGGACACAACCUCACAAACUCAAUUCCUUGACAACUUUCUUGACAACAGCUCUGCGCUGCUCUGCGAAGCACGAGAACCUUCCUCUCCUCUGAAGACCCAGUGAGGGUGGAGCUCAGUCAGAGAGCUGUUGAGGGACUGGUUAGGAAGAACACUUCUACAGCCAGAGAGCCCUAGGACCAUGCCUCAGGACUACUUGGCCUGAUGACUCCUUGCAGUCCCCGGUCCACCUGGUUGUGCUGCUGCUCCAAUUGUAACUGUUCUGGCUGCGGCUAUGCAACCCUGAACUGUUCACCAAACGUGCUACCUUGUCCCAGACCUGCUGUUUUCGACCCUCUCUCUACCGCACCUGUUGUUUCGACCUCAGACUGCUCAGCUAAC